GACGAACGCUGGCGGCGUGCUUAACACAUGCAAGUGGAGCGACGAACCGGGGCUUGCCCCGGGGCAGAGCCGUGAACGGGUGAGUAACACGUGGGUAACCCACCCCGAUGAUUGGGACAACCCGGGGAAACUCGGGCUAAUACCAAAUGUGCUCGUAGACCAUGAGGUCCAUGAGUAAAGAUAGCUUCGGCCUUCGCAUCGGGACGGCCCGCGGCCCAUUAGCUUGUUGGUGAGGUAACGGCUCACCAAGGCAACGAUGGGUAGCUGGUCUGAGAGGACGAUCAGCCACACUGGGACUGAGACACGGCCCAGACUCCUACGGGAGGCAGCAGUGGGGAAUCUUGCGCAAUGCGCGAAAGCGUGACGCAGCAACGCCGCGUGGAGGAAGACGGGUCUUCGGGAUUGGUAAACUCCUUUCAGUUGGGACGAAGCUCAACGGGUUAAUAGCCCGGUGGAGUGACGGUACCUUC
rnacentral:rRNA from 1 species